rnacentral:lncRNA from 1 species
CCCCUAAGUGCCUCUGUGUCUCAGGUGGAUCCUUCCAAGCUCUUCCUCUUGCAGCUGUUCCUAAUCAAUGCUGAGAGCAAGAGUAGGAAGGAUUCCCAAGGGGUUGUAGUGCUCAUCUGGGAAGUGGGAGUGCACAGUUCUAGGUGCAGGGCUUUAGAAUUACUGUUUUAGCUUAAGGUUUCAGUUACUGAAGUAACUGGUGUAUAAAUUGAAUGUGGAGAAUCUGGAUAAAAUAUAGUGGUAGUUGGGAGUGUUGCUGUAUCUUUCUAAUUCCUACAGUUUCUUACUGCAGGAUUCUAUUUGAAUUGAGCAAAGCUGGCUAGUUGUUUGAGUGAUUUUCAGAUAAGGUCUGGGAAAUCAGGCAAGAACAGUGUUUUAGAUUAUUGAGAAAGAUGAAGAAAUUGCUUGAUGUCAGCAUGUUGAUGAUGGGAGGACACUUGCUUCUUUCUUCUCUUCCUGGUAUGAGGAACAAGAGAGGUGGUUCUGCUGAAACCAAGUGUCACCAGGCUGCCUUAUGAAGUCAGUUGAAAUGUGGCAUAAGCCUGUCAGCCUGGGGAAGUACCCCUUUCUGGGUGGCUUUGUGUUCCUUGGCAAUUUUGUAUGCCUGCAUACAUUAUCCUCGUACAGGUGGUCUGCCUGAUCCUCUUUUGUGCCCUGGCAAAGGAAAAGGUAGAGAGGAAAGGAGUAGGUGUCAGCACAGUAUGGCAGAGUGCAAGAAAACACCAGUAAAAGUGCAGCAGGAUCGCCUGUCAUCGCCUGUGGUGGGGGUGGAGAAACCUGGUCCUCACAUGCCACCUAGUGUAGGAAGCUGA